GUGCUCACUUUGGCAGCACAUAUAUUAAAAAUUGAAAUGAUACAGAGAAGAUUAGCAUGGCCCCUGCACAUGGAUGACACAUAAAUUAGCGAAGCGUUCCAUAUUUUU